GCCUACGGGAGGCAGCAGUAGGGAAUCUUCCACAAUGGGCGAAAGCCUGAUGGAGCAACGCCGCGUGUGUGAUGAAGGGUUUCGGCUCGUAAAACACUGUUGUAAGAGAAGAAUGACAUUGAGAGUAACUGUU
rnacentral:rRNA from 1 species